UUAUAAUCGAUAUGCUCGGCCUGUUUUUUUACGGAUAAAAUAUAAAGUACGGAAUUUUAUUCGCAACAGAAUGAUGUUGAACCAUGGAAUGGUAAAAUGAACCAAAAUUAGCAUAACCCAACUAUCAUAUCGCUCAAAGGAUGUUCCUCGAUAGUUUCAGGUAAAGGUAUGAUGUGGUUAUCCAGGACAGUCGACGAAUAAUCGGUUUUAUUGACUUUAUUUACGAGCACCGUUAGAACGGAGAAGAUAAGCGAUGUGGAGUGGAAGGGCAAGGUCGACCAUUGAUCCGGAGGACCGAGACGCAUUGAUCCUCCAAGCUGUAAAUGGCCUGGGCUCUUUAACACUGGAAAGUCCGGCGAUCUCUCUUCGAAAUGGAAAUUCGAGGAUUUUCUAAGAGGGUGGCAAAGGUUUCUAGACCCGACGACCGAGCCGGCGAGAGGAUCCUCGACUAGUCCCUUUAUUACAGUAAGGCCCGCUUGUUGCGUAAGUGGAACUUUAAAAACCGGAGGAAACAGAAAUAAAUUAUCGAUAAAAGGCGUCGACCGUUAGAUAAAUGUUGCGAUUACGCUUUGAAGACGGAAAGAAAAAGAAAGUAGGAAUGUCUAUGCAAUAUAUUUUUUAAAAACAACCUCAUUGGCAUACAAAUUCUUCGGCCAAAACAACAAAUACCACAGUGGCCAGGAGUAAUUUAAAAUUUUUG